AGUAUAGUACCCAUUUGAUAAAAAGGGUAAAGAAAACAAAAACCUGCGUUGUCACUUUGCGUCCAUUCUUUUACUCAACAAACCAUUGUCAGCAAGACUCUGGGUUUUGCUACACAAUCUUCCUCCCCCUUACUCUCUCCAACUACUGUCACCUCUUCACCGGAGGAGGAGACAGUGGCCACCACCUCCACUCCCCUCCGCAAUUUUCCUUUCAUCUCCGUCAUGACGCUCCAUUUGUCCACCCUGUAAUUCAACUCCCAUGCCCUAUUCUUGCCCUUGAAGAACCCUCUUG